GGAGCUUAGGUGUGGCCAAUGGCAGCUUCACAGGAGGCUAGGUUUGCCGGCUUGCUAUUACAUUUUUGGGGAGGAGGGCUCAAAAAGGAAAACAAUGAAGCAGAACCAGGGCGAGUUCUCCUGUGCCUAGCUUACGAGACAAAGAAGAGCAGUGGGCAUCUCAAAUCCAACUCAUUCAUUGGGGUGAUAAGCUGGUAAAAUGUACUCCUGGAGCUUCUGGGAGCCGUCUUUGCCACCACUUGGAGAAAGCCUGCCUGAGAAUGAAGCUGGCAGAGGAAGGCAGAGCUGAGACAUAGAGACGGAGGACCGACAGCUGUGUUUACGCACUGGAUCUGGCCAUUCCUGGAGGCACUUUGCCCCAGACUCUUCAAUUAAAUAGCCACUAAAUUCCCAGUUCUGCUCAAUCAGCUGGGGCCCCGCUCAGGGUGCGAGGAAUGGUAUGGUGAACAAGACAGAGAAGCCGCCAGUCCUGAAGCUCACAGUGGGGAGGCGCCGUGGACUUGGAGGAGUACUGGACACCCCCUGAGGUCCAGCACACGGGCUCCCCAGCAACGAGACGCACGUCAGAUGAUGACUACGUGACCAGAUUAAGACCAGACCCGAGACAGUUAACAGUGUGGUUUUGAUAACGCACAACAAAAAGUUUUUACUGGCGCAAUACAAAACUGAGCCUGUGGCUGGAGCAGGACUUCCCAGUCACCAGGAACCGUUGACAGACAAAAGUAAACCAACAAGACAAUUUCCGAUUUUGGUAAAGCACGAUGAAGGACACAACAGAGCACUGCCAUGAGGCCGGGAGGACUCCCACAGAUGGAGCUGGCGGGAAAGUGCUUUCCGGGGAAAGACAGGGAAGUCCUCACGUACUGGCUUUCUGCUGACGACAUGGCCGUCUGGAGCAGAGCCACAGGACAAGAGGCAGCUCCAACUCCGCCACUUCGUCCAAGAGCCUGAUGACUUCCUUCUGGAGGCUGCCACUUCUUUGCCCAAUAAAACAAUCAGAACAAAGCAGAGUUCCAGGUGGCUGCUUGUGCUCUUGGAAAAGGCUGCUGGUGCAUGGGACAGAAGGAAUCAGGAGAGGGCCACACUGCCGGGGACAAGGAAAGAGCUUCACUUCCAACGGAACCAGGGAGGGGAAAGCUGCCAGAGAGACCAAGGGAGAGACUGCUGUGUGGAACUGGGCUGGUGUGCAGGAGGGAACAGAUGAAGCCAUAGCCACAGGGCAGGGAGUCAUCUCUGCCGCCCCUCAGAGGCCGUGGACUUCUCUUGAGCAGGAGAGGAAUGGGAGAAGUUGCAGCUGGAACGCUUCGGGAGUCUGUCCAGCAUGGGAGCAUAAUCUGUCCCAUGUGUGGCCACUGGAGAAAAGUUGAGAAUCGCUCCUGUAAACAGUCUAGCUGUCUGGUUACAACUGAUAACAGAGAACUAUUUGCAGUUUUACAAAAUGUUUUCACAUACGUUAUUCCCCUAAACAACCCCACUCUAUUCACAGAGGGCUCCGAUCCACAAUGAAGCCCAGAGGGGAUAAGUGGCUCCCCACGACCCUGCAACGGAUGGAGACAGAGCCACGUGGGAAUUCAGGCUGUCUUCCCAACUGCCUGGCCGACAUCCCUGAGGACUGCCUUUGGAGGGUUCAGGAGGAAACCAGGCCAAACCGCUUGCAGAGUGGUCAGCUGGCUCCCCUUCUGCCUCUGGUCCCCCUCAUCACAAGCGAGCCUUGUAGUUUCACAUGAGCAUCAGGUGUCCAGAAUAGGACCAUGAACUUGAACAACCCCAAACAGCCACCAGACUCGCUCUUCCUCUGCGGCUCUCAAACCUCUGCGUGCACUGAAACCCACUGAAAGGUUGGUUAGCACCCAGGUUGCAGGGCCCCACCCUCAGAGCUUCUGAUGCGGUAGGUCUGGGGCAGGAGCUCAAGAACGUGCAUUUUCAGCAAGUUCCCGGGUGAUGCUGCUGCUGCUGCCCCCUGGGCCACAUUUUGAGAACUGCUGAUCUGUGACGUAAUAGGUAUCUUCCCCUCCUGGAGGGUAGAGUGGUUAUGGGACUCUAGGACCCUUACGAGAAGGAUGAGAAGUAGAAAGGGUGAGAGGGCUAGAAGCUGGUUUCCAUGAGGUGCGUGACAGAAAAUCCAGGAAAGAAAAGAAGUGGCCAGGUGAGAUUAAAAAGGCAGUAGGCACAGUGAGCUGUGAAUGAGAGGAUGCAAGGCUGUGGUCCAGGCUAGUGUCUCACCCCAGUUAUCAAACAGCAGCAUCGCGACUUUACCGUGUCACAUGCCACCUGCACUAUGAUUUACUUACAGAUUUUUAAAAAAUUGACUUACUUUUCUCACAUAUAACAGCCUUACCCUAAACAAAAAUGAAAUAAUAACAGUAACAGCCAGUACUUAUAAGUUCUUGCUAUGUGCCAGGCACACACAUACAUACAUUCAUUUACACACAUAUGUACACACAUGUGCAUGUGCUCACACAUACAUAGCUGUUUCGAUCCUCACAGUGACCCUGUGAAUGAGGACAUUGAGGCCUGGAGGAGACAGGUGACCCCUCCCAAGCUUCCCAGCUAACAAGCGGCAGAGGCAGGAUUCCAACCCACAGAGCUGGCUCCAGAGUCCAUGCUCUGAACCCCUGAAAUUAGGGGGUAAGGGGGUCACCAUGGGUUAGGUAACUUGCCAAAGAGCACGUAGCUAGCAAUGGGAUGGAACCAAGAUUUGAAGACAACCAGGAUGACUCUAAAACCGGAGUGUUAAACUCCUGCGUCCAUUCCCAUGUGGGUUACGGGCAGUGAGGGAC
ensembl:lncRNA